UCUAGGCAUUAUGGGGACCGCUGGAUUAAGGCGACAAAAAUUGGUCUCCUUAAUAUUUUCAGUCCAGAUUUGAUGUAUCAAAUGUCAAUAAAAAUGUCCAUUGACAGUAAGUUGAUAAGCUUGAAUGUUUAUUUACGAGAUCAUUUCAUUGUUUUAAAUCUUAUUAUCUUUUAAUAUUAAAAAAAAUAUUCUUAAACUUUUGUGUGUGUAUAUUUGUGUAUCCAUAAAAAUAGCUAUUAAGGCGACCAGGGAAAAAAUCAUAAUUUUGGUCAAAAAUAGCUAUAUACUAAGCAUUUUUUAUUUGUUUUACUUUAUUUAAAGCCUAUUGUAUAAUAUCCCGAAGUUUCAUUCCAUAAAAUACAGAAAUAAGGAAAUUCGAUAUUUCGUGUACCAUCAACAUCCAAAUUUUCAAGUAUACAGAAAUUUAACUUUCCGGAAUAUAACGGAAAUUUUUGGGUAUCUCCGUGGUACCAUCUCCGUGCAAUUAUGCAGUAUGGCGUUCAUCUCUUACGGAAAGAGAAUGGUAACUUGGUAAGUGUUUAAAAUACAUAUUCAACGUUUUUUCGUUUAUUUUUAUGACUUUUGUACAGUAGUAUAAAUCGUCCACCCUUUGGAUGAAAAGCAAAUGAUUUAUCCGGAUUUUGUUCAUCCGAAACUAAAUCACUAGUAUCAACAUCCGGUGUAAUUUUUGCUUGUAUUUUGGAGAAACUCGAUUGAUUUCUAACAAACUUGGUUUACCACUACAUCGUCGCUUAUUAUUAUUUGUUGCUGCUUGGGACAAUAAAGUUAAGUCAGCAACCGUCUACCAGACUGCAAGAUUCAUCUCUUCCAAAGGAUGUCGUACCUUUCCAGAUACACUGUGUUUUGUGUGGAUAAGAAAUGCAGAGUGGUACCACCAAUCACCUAAGCCACCAUUCCCCUAACAGACAAUAGGCUCAUGGGGACAGUUCCUGCAAUUUACAGAAAAGCUCUCAAUUGUAGCCCUACGAACAUCAGAUACUGCCAAUGGUGAAGCUUGGGUGCACCGGGCCGGUUUUCCAGCCGUGUGGAAUCAACAUCUCCAGCUGAACUGGGGCCGGGAAUUAUAUAAGACUCCUUAGCAGCAUGAGUGCCAGCCAGUCAUUGCUGUUCUUUUCAUUGCUGAGGAGGACAGUCCUGCCAACAUAACAGUUUGUUCAAUAACAGGAGACAAACAGAAACACAGAGGUGCUAUACAUUCUGAUUGAAAAACAAAAGCUUCUCCCAUCAUUUUGGCGUGGCUCAGAUCAAGAGGAGAAUUUUAAGAAAGGUGAUGAUUGGGCACACACAAGAAGACAUAGAUCACAGGUGUCUAGCCAUAUGAGUAGAUAGGAGUGUCACACUCUGCCAAACUUACUUCAUCAGACGAGCAGAAAGCUUCUCAAGAUCCCGCACUGCACACUAAGACAUAGUCUUUGACUACAACAAGGUGAUGAAAGUACAGAGAGGUCCAAUUGAAAUCAAUUCUGUGCUGCGUCAUUUCUUCAUUCUGGAAGUCGAUGGACGUGAUUUAUCAUGGCAUAAAGUGUGCAGUUUGCCGACUAUCAGCAGUCUUGUUCACCAGCUGUGCAACUUGAGCUGGUAGCUUUAUUGCUUGAAGCCACUGCACAAGAGGGGGAAGGUGCAGGCUCAUCAAAAAGUCUCAAAAGUUGAAACUAGGAAAAGAAGUUUAUCAAGAGUGUGAAUCUAUUUUGAAAACAAUCGUUACAAUGAUUUGGUUUCCUUUGAAACUUGAUACAUACUAUGAAUUGAGAUGCUUAAAUAAAAAACCGCUAUUCAAAUAUCAGGAAACUGCCUUUUUCAUACUAAAGGGUAAAUGAUGUCGCCAUUUCCUGUAUGUAUUUAAAUAAGAUAUGUCUCCACAAUUAAUAUUUUUAAGGAAUUUUUCUCAACCUAAUGAAUGAGAUUAAAUUGUACAGCGUUAUAUGAGCUUAAUAUGUGUUUUCUCAUUCUUUAAAAUUGGUGAAAAAUUGUCAGAAGAUAAUUAGACCAGUAUCCAUUACUGCAAUCAUACAAUCAAAUAUACAGGGACAAGCCCACUGGGCAUAUAAUAUAAUUAAACCCUGUUUAGGGGCACGAGGCAAACAGAGUUACUUUCAAACGUUAAAGCUGCACUCUCACACUUUAGAUGUUUUGACAACCUUUUUCAUUUUAUGUCUUGGAUUGGAACCAUCCAAUUUUUGCGAAAAAUUAAAUCCCAGAUUUUUCUAUUUAAGUUAAAACAUUGAUGUUUUUCAUGCACUUUUCUUAAACCGUUAGUAACAUUAAUUUUCGAACGGAAAUAUGAAAUCUGCGAUCUGAUCUUUUGUCAGCAAUCUUUUAUCAUUGGUUUGCAGAUAAUUACGCAAAAACUUGCUCAUUCCAAGACAAAAAAAGUUGUGGAAACGGUAUAUCUGUGAGAGUGCAGCUCUAAAUGUUUAAUUGCUUGAUUUUAGUACUGUAUUAGAAAUUACAGGGAUUGGGGUAUAUUUUUAGUGUUUUUAUUGCUUGUUUUUGAUUCAUACAGUCAUACUUUAUUCUUCAGGGCACAACUUACAAAUAGACAAAACUGGAAAAUGGUCAUAUCAAAAGGUCAAAGAUAAUGCAAGUUGAACAAUCAUAUUGUUCAUGGCUUGUAUUUUUGGUAUAUUUUGUUGCAUAUGCUAUAGAAAAGUUGAAAGUUAAAAAUAAAUUCAUAGUUGAAAUGAUGGCUUUGAAUGGUAUUGUCAGAUGAGAAACGGCACUAUUAAGAAAUAGGUAUAAUGGUACUUUAUUUAUUUUAAUCAAUUUUAGAUAUUAUGAAAAUUAUUAUCUUAUUUAGUACAUGAGACCUUUUAAACAGUUAUUGACAAUAUAACAAUGUGUAUAUGAAGCUUUAGAUCAACACUUAAAGCUGCACUCUUACAGAUUGUCAGUUUAGACACAAAAUUGUCUCAAAAUCGGCUGAUUUGGUUAUCAUUCCUUUAAUUCAGUCAUAUUAGAUUAUUCACAAUAGAACCAAUCAAAAAUGUUUGGUAAAACUGCCGAAAAGUUCAUUUACAUUAAAUUGUUCGUAAUGCUUUUAGUCAUAAAACAUCAUUUUUUUAAACAUAAAUAUGAUGAACUGCAAUCUGAUCUUUUUUCAGCAGUCUUAUAUCACUUAAAAUUGGGUCUAGACAUUUCUGCAAAAAAUACUCCAUUAAUAGACGAUCAAUAAAAGAGUACCGGUAGUCAAAACGAUCAAUCGGUGAGAUUGCAGCUUUAAAUACACCUUUUAAGACCGCUGUAAAAUUCCAAUGGUUUGCCUAAAUCUUUAAAGCUAGCAUACUGUUUAAUUGACAACCAUACUUAUUGUUUAAAAGUGUCAUGAUAUCUUUGUACAAUGUUUUUAUAUAAUUCAUUAAAGAAGUCAAUACAAAUU